rnacentral:rRNA from 1 species
UCUGGGUCCAACCUCCCAUCCGUGUCUAUCUGUACCCUGUUGCUUCGGCGUGGCUACGGCCCGCCGAAGACUAACAUUUGAACACUGUCUGAAGUUUGCAGUCUGAGUUUUUAGUUAAACAAUAAUUAAAACUUUCAACAACGGAUCUCUUGGUUCCGGCAUCGAUGAAGAACGCAGCGAAAUGCGAUAAUUAAUGUGAAUUGCAGAAUUCAGUGAAUCAUCGAGUCUUUGAACGCACAUUGCGCCCCCUGGUAUUCCGGGGGGCAUGCCUGUCCGAGCGUCAUUGCUGCCCUCAAGCACGGCUUGUGUGUUGGGCUUCCGUCCCUGGUAACGGGGACGGGCCCAAAAGGCAGUGGCGGCACCAUGUCUGGUCCUCGAGCGUAUGGGGCUUUGUCACCCGCUCCCGUAGGUCCAGCUGGCAGCUAGCCUCGCAACCAAUCUUUUUAACCAGGUUGACCUCGGAUCAGGUAGGGAUACCCGCUGAACUUAAGCAUAUC